AACUAACUGUUUCCUCAGCCGCGUCCAGCCUCGCAGCACUGCUCUUCUGCUUGCUACUCCAGCGAAGGGACAUGCCUGCUGGCCAGGACGCUUAGUGGGCCUCGUAACCUGGCGAGUGUGUGCCCGCGCGUGUCCACCCUGCCCCCGGCCGGUGCGCCCCGCGCGCCCAAACCCGGCCGGCGACCACUGCGCGCCGGGCGCUUCCAAACUGCUCCUGUCCAGAGGCAUCCCUCUUUCGGCUUUCUCCAUCCCGCGUCCGCUUCCGCACCCGAGAGCGACAAGCAAAAAAGAUUCAGUGCAACUCAAGGACUGGUUUGUUAUACUCAAAAUGUACCAGGAACAGGAACAAAAGUAUUUUAUAAAAUAAUUAAUUUUUAUGGGCUAUGAGUCCCAAAUGGUUAUGUAAUCAAAGUGGAAGCAGAAAAGCAUGGCUUAGAAAAUAAUUGGUCAUGUCAUGUCACGCUUAACACAUGUGCAGACUCUGCCCUCCAGGUUGCAGUGCGAUGGUGUGAUCAAUGCUCAUAGUAGCUUCAAACUCCCAGGAUCAAGUGAUCCUCCUAAAUAAACCUCCUGAGUAGCUGGGACUACAGCUUCCACCAUGGGAUGAUACAGCAUGAAGGCCCUCACCAGAUAUGCACCCCUUGAUUUUGGACUUCCCAGACUCCAGAACUAUCUCUGUGGUUACUCUGUGAAUUGGUCUGUACAGGCCCACUUGAGUACAGAUGAGCCAUUUCAGCUAAGCCUACAAGACACUUCCAGCUAAACCUAGCCCAAAUUGCCAACUUGCAGAAUUGUAAGCUAAAUAAAUGACUGUAAGCCGUUAA